GACGAACGCUGGCGGCGUGCUUAACACAUGCAAGUCGAACGGAAAGGCCCUGCUUUUGUGGGGUGCUCGAGUGGCGAACGGGUGAGUAACACGUGAGUAACCUGCCCUUGACUUUGGGAUAACUUCAGGAAACUGGGGCUAAUACCGGAUAGCAGCUCCUGCUGCAUGGUGGGGGUUGGAAAGUCUCGGCGGUUGGGGAUGGACUCGCGGCUUAUCAGCUUGUUGGUGGGGUAGUGGCUUACCAAGGCAUUGACGGGUAGCCGGCCUGAGAGGGUGACCGGCCACAUUAGGACUGAGAUACGGCGCAGACUCCUACGGGAGGCAGCAGUGGGGAAUAUGGCACAAUGGGCGGAAGCCUGAUGCAGCAACGCCGCGUGCGGGAUGACGGUCUUCGGGUUGUAAACCGCUUUCGCCUGUGACGAAGCGUGAGUGACGGUAAUGGGUAAAGAAGCACCGGCUAACUACGUG
rnacentral:rRNA from 1 species